AGCUGCUUUGGGACUACAACUCCCAUCACCCCUAGCUAAAUGGUCAGGGAUGAUGGGAAUUGUAGUCCCAAAACAGCU